AGGGUUUGAUCCUGGCUCAGAUUGAACGCUGGCGGCAUGCCUUACACAUGCAAGUCGAACGGUAACAGGGAGCUUGCUCCGCUGACGAGUGGCGAACGGGUGAGUAAUGUAUCGGAACGUACCAUUCAGUGGGGGAUAACGUAGCGAAAGUUACGCUAAUACCGCAUAUUCUGUGAGCAGGAAAGCAGGGGAUCGCAAGACCUUGCGCUGAUUGAGCGGCCGAUAUCAGAUUAGCUAGUUGGUGAGGUAAAGGCUCACCAAGGCGACGAUCUUGAAGUCGGAAUCGCUAGUAAUCGUGGAUCAGCAUGUCACGGUGAAUACGUUCCCGGGUCUUGUACACACCGCCCGUCACACCAUGGGAGCGGGUUCCGCCAGAAGUAGGUAGCCUAACCGCAAGGAGGGCGCUUACCACGGCGGGGUUCGUGACUGGGGUGAAGUCGUAACAAGGUAGCCGUAGGGGAACCUGCGGCUGGAUCACCUCCUUUCU
rnacentral:rRNA from 1 species